GGGGGUGUAAAGGCUUCGACAUAUAUGGGUAAUAUUAGGAUUCAGUGGUGUAGUAGACCAUAAUUACUUCUAGGCUUUUUCAAACGGAAAAGAAGAAAAAACAGAAGUUUCAUUUAAUAUGUUAGCUUCAAAUAACUCAAACCUAGUUUUUGCUUAGUAUAAACUAGUUGAUAAUAAAAAAUUCCUUUCUUUUUUAUUAUUCAUUAUUUUUAAAGGAUAUGUAGAUGGAUUUAACUAAAAUCUACAGAAAUUUUUAGUUAAAUAAAUUAAUAUGUUUUUGUUUAUUUAAGUAUUAAUUUAUUAUUUAAAAUAAACUAAACUGUAAACUUCUAAUAAAGUUCAUGUGUGGACCCGGGUUCAAUUCCCGGCAUCUCCACCA
rnacentral:tmRNA from 1 species